rnacentral:rRNA from 1 species
GACGAACGCUGGCGGCGUGCUUAACACAUGCAAGUCGAACGGAAAGGCCCUGCUUUUGUGGGGUUCUCGAGUGGCGAACGGGUGAGUAACACGUGAGUAACCUGCCCUUGACUUUGGGAUAACUUCAGGAAACUGGGGCUAAUACCGGAUAGGAGCUCCUGCUGCAUGGUGGGGGUUGGAAAGUUUCGGCGGUUGGGGAUGGACUCGCGGCUUAUCAGCUUGUUGGGGGGGUAGUGGCUUACCAAGGCUUUGACGGGUAGCCGGCCUGAGAGGGUGACCGGGCACAUUGGGACUGAGAUACGGCGCAGAAUCCUACGGGAGGCAGCAGUGGGGAAUAUUGCACAAUGGGCGGACGCCUGAUGCAGCAACGCCGCGUGCGGGAUGACGGCCUUCGGGUUGUAAACCGAUUUCGACUGUGACGAAGCGUGCGUGACGGUACUGGGUAAAGAAGCACCGGCUAACUACGUG